CUUAAUUGUAUUAUUUGCUGUUGGUACUUAAUUGAAUUAUUUGAGUAGUUUGUUUAUUUAGACGAAUUUGCACGGGUAUUUUGACUUGACGUAUCAUCCUUCUGUGAAUACAAAUGUGAAAUUAGGACAAACUACGGAAAAAAUGAUACUUCGUAGUUCAUAACUCGCUCCAAAAUCUUCCAAAGGCAAAAUUGGAAUUUGUUUAGUUUACUAAUAGAUAGUUCGUCUCGUCUUUAUACUUAGACGUAUAAUCUGUUAGACGGAUCAUUCCUCCAUACAGAUGAUCCGUCUCUAGUAUGAAAAUUGACUUAUACUAAAAAUUAACAAAGACAUGAUCCUGAUUUUGCAAUCGUGACUUUUGCUCAUUAACGAUUUUCACUAAAUCUGACAUCAUUGAUAGUUAUUCUUCAAGGCAAUAUCUAUAUCAUUAUUGGAGUUCCUACAUUCUGUAUUAUUGGUAAAUAGCACAACAACUACAUGCAUCUUAGCAUUUAUCACAAGAAACUGAACUUUUUAUAAGAGCUUUAAACUUUCCUGAUCAACCUGAGCUCUAGUUCAUUCGCAUCAAGGUGUAUCAAUUCAAAAUAUUGCUAUUUGGGUACAACGCUCGAAUUACUUUUUCCAAAAAGACAUCAAUCACUGCAGUUCAGAAUGAAAGAAAAUCUUGUCUCGCACAAAGGUUAAUUAGAGGGUAGCAUUUUGGAGAGCCAAUCCUGCCAUAAGUCAAUGAAAUGGGUGAGGCUUUAGGUGAUUAUCCUGACAUUAAUUACGACAAAUGUAUACCAAAUAAGAUAGAAAGUAUAUACAAUAUUCAUAAAUUGCGACAGCAGCUGCAAUGCCCACAAAAUUGUUGGUAUGUUACAGUCCACAAAAGUCAGAUCGAUCAUGUUAAGCUCUAUGUUUUUUUUUGUAAAAAAUUAUCUUGAUUGCACUAUACUUUGUGUUGCAGUUUUUUCUCCUUUGCGCGUUAACACAAAGCAGUUAUGCGUCCACCGAUUCGUUAUUGGAACUGUAUGCCAUCCAAUUUGUAUGCGCAGUCGACACACAAUAUUGUUUAGUAAAUUGCCUAAACGACUUAUCAAGCGCAGCAAAAUCAUUCAACUUAAAUUCCUGAUAAGGCUAAAUUACCUGAAGGAAGUAUCGUCGCAUGAUCGAAAAGUGCUUUGAAUGGACCCAAAAACACUUGUAGAAAUACAAUCGUGUUUGUUUUUGUAGUACAUUUGGUUGUGAUGUUUAACAAAAAUCAUUCUUUCCAUGCAUUUUUUUGGAAGUUUUUGUUGCUUCUAAUUUUAUAUGGGGGACUGUUCUGAUGUGUACCACAGGUCUUUGAUGACCUGUGUAUGAAACGAUCCAUAUUAACAUAGCUGGACUUUUUAAUUCUUUUUUUGGUUUCGAUUUCAAUAUCAUCUUUGCAUCUAAAAUAUUUCAAUUUCAACUUGAAUCAAUGUGUGUGAUACCUACAAAAAUAGGUUUUUUAGUAUGAAAUCCGCAAAUUUUGUUGUAACUGUACAAAGUUUCUCAGAAAAAAUGUUUCUAAACAUUGCAAAUAAAAUUAGUUUCAAGAAUGCUUAGUUUAGAACCUUGGCCAGGGGUGGUUCAGGAGAUUGUGAAAAAGGGAGCCGAACUCUUUGAACUUGUUUAAAAACUAAAACUUUCUUGUCAUUUUUUAUUAUCAUUCAAUUUUUUUGUUUUUUUUCCAGCAAAAGGGGGGUUUGCGGCCGUUUCGCCCCCACCUAAAUCCGCCCGAAAUUCACUUCGAGAAGUGCUUAUUAAAGGCUAAGCAGUUUGUUUCUUGACGAAUAGCCUUAAACGUAAAUAAACCUUAAUUUCGUAUUUGCACUUACAUAGCGUAUACAUAAUAAGGACAUUUGGCACGCCCCAAUCAUACAUUCGUCAUUUACCCGUCGCGUUCUUUUUUUUUACUUUGCAGUAUACAACUUAAAAAUUACGAAAUCACUCAUGAUUUACUUUCUUUGUUUCGGUUAUGUUGUAUUUUUUUAUUCUUCUGACACAUAUGCGAAGCUCAUGUGUUCGGAAGAAUAAAUUGAUUUGUUUGCGAUUUAAUAAUAAGGCAACGAGCAGUAAAAUGCAACGGUAUUCAAUAAAUAUUUACGUAGUACAAUUUGCAUCAUUUGAUGAAUAAGUUUUCAUUAUGACUGACUGACUGACUGACUGACUCGUGUGAAUUUUCGCCACUUACAAUAAUACAGCAAAGUUCCUAUGAAAACAUUACACUAAAAGUAAGGCGCUAUGAUGUAUUUAUGAUGUAUUCUUAAAUACGCGACACUCUAUCAGUAUUGAUUUGCAGUUGAUCGCUGGAAGUGAUAAAUUAAAA